CCUACGGGUGGCAGCAGUGAGGAAUAUUGGUCAAUGGCCGGAAGGCUGAACCAGCCAUGCCGCGUGAAGGUCAGUGCCCUAUGGGCGUUAAACUUCUUUUGUGCGGGAGCAAUAAUGGUCACGUGUGGCCAGACGAGAGUACCGUACGAAUAAGCAUCGGCAAACUCCGUGCCAGCAGCCGCGGUAAUACGGGGGAUGCAAGCGUUUUCCGGAUUUAUUGGGUUUAAAGGGUGCGUAGGCUGUGAUGUAGGUCAGCGGGGAAAUGCCCGCGCUUAACGGGGUGAAGUGCCAUUGAUACUGGCUUGCGGGAAUGCGGAUGCGGUGGGAGGAAUGUGUGGUGUAGCGGUGAAAUGCAUAGAUAUCACACAGAACACCGAUUGCGAAGGCAUCUCACGAAUCCGCGAUUGACGCUGAUGCACGAAAGCGUGGGUAUCAAACAGGAUUAGAUACCCUUGUAGUC
rnacentral:rRNA from 1 species